rnacentral:lncRNA from 1 species
UGUAUGAUCUGCCCACAAGGCCCCGACUAGGAAGAGUUGUUUUGUUCCUUCUCUGUAACCAUGACAGAAGUUCUGCUUAGGGUAUUUGCAGCAUUUUUAUUAUUUUUUCUGGCUUCUCUGCAGACGCCCAUUGUUGAUUCACUGAAAACUGUGACCAUUCAAGCAAACCCAGUGAAGGCUGCAGCCUGUGAACCACUUCUGGAACUUUUGGUGUUUGUACCCAGUCUUAAGGUCACUGGGAAAGGCUGAAGGUCUGUAUGAUGCAGAAUGCCAGGAUGCAUAACUAUGAACGCCUGACUUGAGCAUUUGCACCAGUAAGUGAGAUUAAGUUCAUCACUUCAAUAUUUAACGGUGUUCCAGUUUGACUGAAAAUACACAUUUUUUGUGUGUGUGUGCAUGCAUUAUGCAAAAAUCUCCAGAUACAAAUUCUUGAUUAUUUACUUUGAUGCUUUUUCAUGUAUUGUCAGUCUCCAGAGAUAAAACUGCUACCUUCUGUGUUUUUGAGAGGUAUCUUUCACGUAUAUGAUGUGUUUC